GGCUCGCCUGGGCCAGGUGCAGGCCGUCAGCGCCGACAUCGCGGACGAGGCCUCGGUGCGGGCCGCCUUCGCUCAGGCCGAAGCGGAGUUC
rnacentral:tRNA from 1 species